rnacentral:rRNA from 1 species
GACGAACGCUGGCGGCGUGCUUAACACAUGCAAGUCGAACGGAAAGGCCCUGCUUUUGUGGGGUGCUCGAGUGGCGAACGGGUGAGUAACACGUGAGUAACCUGCCCUUGACUUUGGGAUAACUUCAGGAAACUGGGGCUAAUACCGGAUAGGAGCUCCUGCUGCAUGGUGGGGGUUGGAAAGUUUCGGCGGUUGGGGAUGGACGCGCGGCUUAUCAGCUUGUUGGUGGGGUAGUGGCUUACCAAGGCUUUGACGGGUAGCCGGCCUGAGAGGGUGACCGGCCACAUUGGGACUGAGAUACGGCCCGGACUCCUACGGGAGGCAGCAGUGGGGAAUAUUGCACAAUGGGCGGAAGCCUGAUGCAGCAACGCCGCGUGCGGGAUGACGGCCUUCGGGUUGUAAACCGCUUUCGCCUGUGACGAAGCGUGAGUGACGGUAAUGGGUAAAGAAGCACCGGCUAACUACGUG